rnacentral:rRNA from 1 species
CCUACGGGUGGCAGCAGUGGGGAAUAUUGCACAAUGGGCGAAAGCCUGAUGCAGCAACGCCGCGUGAAGGAAGACGGUUUUCGGAUUUUUACAUUCUUUUCUUAGUGAAGAAUAAUGACGGUAACUAAGGAGCAAGCCACGGCUAACUACGUGCCAGCAGCCGCGGUAAUACGUAGGGGGCAGGCGUUGUCCGGAAUUACUGGGGGUAAAGGGAGCGUAGGCGGGAAGCCAAGUCCGUUGUGAAAACUACGGGCUUAAACUGUAGACUGCAGUUGAAACUGGAUUUCUUGAGUGAAGGAGAGGUUGGCGGAAUGCCGGGUGUAGCGGUGAAAUGCAUAGAUAUUCGGAGGAACACCGGUGGCGAAGGCAGCAAACUGGGCUUCAACUGACGCGGAGGCUCGAAAGUGUGGGGAGCAAACAGGAUUAGAUACCCCAGUAGUC